rnacentral:rRNA from 1 species
GACGAACGCUGGCGGCGUGCCUAAUACAUGCAAGUCGAACGCAGUGGGGACGGGUGAGUAACACGUGGGUAACCUCCCAUCAGAGGGGAUAACACUUGGAAACAGGUGCUAAACCGAUACUGAUGGAUGAAACCGCGGUGCAUUAGCUAGUUGGUGAGGUAACGGCUCACCAAAGCCACGAUGCAUAGCCGACCGGCGAGGGUGAUAGGUCACACUGGGACGUGGACGCGACCCAGACUCAUACGAGAGGCAGAAGUAGGGAAGCUUCGGAAAUGGACGAAAGUCUGACCGAGCAACGCCGCGUGAGUGAAGAAGGUUUUCGGAUCGUAAAACUCUGUUGUUAGAGAAGCGGUAACUAACCAGAAAGCCACGGCUAACUACGUGCCAGCAGCCGCGGUAAUUC